rnacentral:misc_RNA from 1 species
GAUGAAGAACGCAGCAAAAUGCGAUAAGUAAUGUGAAUUGCAGAAUUCAGUGAAUCAUCGAAUCUUUGAACGCACAUUGCGCCCGCCAGUAUUCUGGAGGGCAUGCCUGUUCGAGCGUCAUUUCAACCCUCAAGCACAGCUUGGUGUUGGGACUCGCGUUAAUUCGCGUUCCCCAAAUUGAUUGGCGGUCACGUCGAGCUUCCAUAGCGUAGUAGUAAAACCCUCGUUACUGGUAAUCGUCGCGGCCACGCCGUUAAACCCCAGCUUCUGAAUGUUGACCUCGGAUCAGGUAGGAAUACCCGCUGAACUUAAGCAUAUCAAUAAGCGGAGGA